CCUACGGGAGGCUGCAGUGGGGGAUAUUGCACAAUGGGCGAAAGCCUGAUGCAGCAACGCCGCGUGAGGGAAGACGGUUUUCGGAUUGUAAACCUCUGUCCUUGGUGAAGAAUAAAUGACGGUAGCCGAGGAGGAAGCCACGGCUAACUACGUGCCAGCAGCCGCGGUAAUACGUAGGUGGCGAGCGUUGUCCGGAAUUACUGGGUGUAAAGGGAGCGCAGGCGGGGAAGCAAGUCAGCUGUGAAAUCUAUGGGCUUAACCCAUAACGUGCAGUUGAAACUGUUUUUCUUGAGUGGAGUAGAGGUAGGCGGAAUUCCGAGUGUAGCGGUGAAAUGCGUAGAGAUUCGGAGGAACACCAGUGGCGAAGGCGGCCUACUGGGCUCUAACUGACGCUGAGGCUCGAAAGUGUGGGGAGCAAACAGGCUUAGAUACCCCAGUAGUC
rnacentral:rRNA from 1 species